UCUGUUUUUUUUACUUUUAUAUUAAUCUGCUAAUAAAAUAAUGAAUUAAAAAUUAUAUGUUAUCUUUAAACCAAAAAAUCCUGAAACGGCGGUGACUUUUAAUCAAUCAAGUAAGAUAUAAUUAAAAAUCAUAUUACAUAAAUUACUCUAUUGUUGUACUUAUUACGUAUAGUCCUUUCGAUUUUUAUAUUUUAAAUUUGUCUUUCAGACAUCCAGCUUGAAUAUUGCAUAUAGAACAUAACAAAUAAUUUGAUUAACGUUAUUAAAAACAAAUCAAAUAAACCUACAUGUAAAAUUACAUCUACAGGCAACUCGAACGAAAUUUGAUUUAGGUGAUUAAUAGUCUGGUCCAAAAAGAUCCAUAUUAGAGCUAUUUCCAUUAACAAAACCAUGGCUUCAAUCCUUCAUUUUACGAGUUGUUAUAAAGAAGAAAAAUGUUUUAUAUUAUUUUAAAAUUUGUAAAUUAAAUACUAAAACUCAAAUAAUUUUAUAAUCCUAUGAUGGUGCUGAUCUCAUGACUGGAAAUUUAAUGGAGUCAAUUAAGAUUAAGAACUAAAUUUCCAUCUGCGAUUUUUAUUCAUUGUAUGGUUCAUAGAAUAAAUAUUUUGGUUACAGAUAGGUGCAAAAUUUUUAAAGAAACCUUAAUUUUUUUUCACAGGAUUAAGUAUAUACAUUCAAAAGGUAUAAUUUAU